GUGGGGAAUAUUGGGCAAUGGGCGAAAGCCUGACCCAGCAACGCCGCGUGAAGGAAGAAGGUUUUCGGAUCGUAAACUUCUAUCCUUGGUGAAGAUAAUGACGGUAGCCAAGAAGGAAGCCCCGGCUAACUACGUGCCAGCAGCCGCGGUAAUACGUAGGGGGCAAGCGUUGUCCGGAAUGAUUGGGCGUAAAGGGCGCGUAGGCGGCCCGGUAAGUCUGAAGUGAAAGUCCUGCUUUUAAGGUGGGAAUGGCUUUGGAUACUGUCGGGCUUGAGUGCAGGAGAGGUAAGCGGAAUUCCCGGUGUAGCGGUGAAAUGCGUAGAGAUCAGGAGGAACACCAGUGGCGAAGGCGGCUUACUGGACUGUAACUGACGCUGAGGCGCGAAAGUGUGGGGAGCAAACAGGAUUAGAAACCCGAGUAGUCC
rnacentral:rRNA from 1 species